GUGAGGAAUUUUCCGCAAUGGGCGAAAGCCUGACGGAGCAAUGCCACGUGAAGGAUGAAGGCCUAUGGGUUGUAAACUUCUUUUCUCAGAAAAGAAUUAUGACGGUAUCUGAGGAAUAAGCAUCGGCUAACUCUGUGCCAGCAGCCGCGGUAAGACAGAGGAUGCAAGCGUUAUCCGGAAUGAUUGGGCGUAAAGCGUCUGUAGGUUGUUUAAAAAGUAUUCUGUCAAAGAUUAGGGCUUAACCCUAGAUAGGCAGAAUAAACUUUUAAGCUAGAGUUUGGUAGAGGCAGAGGGAAUUCCCGGUGGAGCGAUGAAAUGCAUAGAUAUCGGGAGGAACACCAAAGGCGAAGGCACUCUGCUGGGCCAAUACUAACACUGAGAGACGAAAGCGAGGGGAGCAAAUGGGAUUAGAUACCCGUGUAGUCC
rnacentral:rRNA from 1 species